UAAAAGAAACUAAGCCAACAGCAUCAACAGCUAAUGAAGAAAAUAAUCCAACGGACACUACAAUUACAGUUGCUGGUUUGAUCCAUAAUCCACAAACGAAAGUUGAAAACUCACAACCUUCACUAUUAUCAAAAUGUGGAAUAAUGUAGAAAACGUUCGGAUUGAAAUUGCAAUAAAGAUUGGAAAAACUCAAAACUACAAUGCAGAAAUAUGUAUCACAUUCUGAAGAUAAUUUAUUUUCCUAAUAUUAUUUCUAUAACUAAAUGUAUUUUUUUUUUAAUGUAUAACGUUCUCCGUCGUUAU